rnacentral:lncRNA from 1 species
UGGGUCCCGGAACACGUACACUCGGUUCGAGACUACCAACUGAGCCAUAUCCCCAGGCCUGGAAUUUCGGUUUUUAAAAUACAGGUAUGGAGCUCCUCAGGUUUCAAGGAUUCCUCUCAGGGAAGCCUCUGGAAGUCCCAAAAUCUGGAGGAAAAAGUGACAGAAGAGACCUGGGAAGGAGCCGGGCAGAGUAGGGACAGUAGAUUAGGCCAGAAAUGUAGCCUAGGAUGGGCCCCAUGCCCAGCUGUUGUGGGUGAAAGUCUUGGCAUAUCUGGUACCAGCGAUAUCUCCCUAGGGCUGGCCUGAGUUCAGCUCCCCACAUAUAAUGUCCUUGAACCCGGGAGGGAUGCCUGUAACCUAGGCCAUCAUCUUGACUUGUGGGAAAGUCCUCAGGCCAGAGAUGGUAGGCAUCGGGGCAAGGAGACCGAAUCUGAGUCUGCCCAAAGGUAUAGAGCAGGCCAGUAUGGGCCAAGGAUGAGAUGGAGACAGAGGUGAGUCAUCCCGAGAGGCUGACCCAGCCCCAGGAGCCCAAACUCUGGGACAGUUCUUGGGGCUCACUCUUCCCUAAGCCUGGUCCCAGUUCUGAAUUCUGCCCUCCCAGGCAUUAGGCCAGACAGGAGUGGAGGUGGGCAGGCCCAGAGUCAGGAAAUCUGUGUCAGACUUUGCCACUGCCUUGAUGAGCCUCCCUGGACAGCUCCUUUCCCCUCUUUGGGCCUCAAUUUUCCCCCUUUGAACUUCUUCAUUAGAGGUUAGAUUCAAUGACCUCGGAGGAUUAGCUCUGAGGAUUCCUGGACUCUGUGCUAUCAGCCUGCGACCCUAGCAGGGAUUCUGGAGAUUCCUGGGAGUGGGGGUGGGGUAGAGUUGGUGGCCUGUAGAUGACAUCUGCUCAUCUGACAUCUGGUGGUGACAGGCUAGAGCAGAGGUGGGGACAGGCAUGAAUUUGGUUUUGGCAGGAAAUCCUUAUCACAGCUCAGAUACGGAAGGAAACCAUGCAGAGGAUUGAUGAGACUCACGCCACAGGUUUCAGGCCUUAUACUCCCUAGGGCUCUCAUGCCUUUGGUGAAAAGGCCAGGUGUGGGUGAGGUGGGGCAAGUAGGUCUCAGUUUUCUGUCUCCUCCUUCUGAGGUAGCCAUAGGAAGAAGUCCUGUCUCCUACCUGCUGCCAGUGUCCUUGUACCUACCCACACCCCAGGCCCCUUUGGCCAGGGGGAGGUCUCUAGGCUCUAGCACCUGGUUGGCCUGCAGACCAGAGUCCUGGCACCAACUCAGAAGGCAGGAGGCAGGGUCCUCUAGGAACCACGGGUAGUGCAGGAGAUGACGUGGGCCACAGGCACCCAGGAUCCCCAGUGGUGGAGCCCAAACGUCCCUCCAAGCACAAGGCUCCUAUUCCAAGGCCAGGACCUCAACUAUAUUUAGUACCAAGUGUGGAGCACAGUAGUGGAUCAGAGGCAGCAGACGGGGGUACAUGCUUCUCAUUCUUGGCCUACUGGCCUCUGGGGACUGUCAUAACACCUGUCACAAGACAGAUAAGACAUACAUGAGACAGACCAGAAGGGCUUGAGGGGCGGGGAUAGAGUGGAGAAAGGUCACACCUUGAUAGAAGUUGACUGACAUGAAGAGGGAGGGAGAAGAGGAGCCAGCUUUGGGGUCGAAGUGGGUUGAGGGCCUUCAGGGGUUGAUCUUAACCUGAGACCCUGCACCCCAGCAGACCUGAAGCUGUGCUUGCUUACACAUGAUUAGGGAGGGGUCUCCAUGAGCACGGGGCAGGCUGUUUCUGCAGAAAGGACUCUGAUCCACAGUCUUCCCUCCCUGGAGAUGUCACCUUCAUAUUCUCCUAAGUGGCCUGCUGAGGAAUAGAGGGGGGACCAUGGCCGAUAAGAAAGCUUCACAUCCCCUACCCUCUUAUUUCUUGGGAAUCAAGUCCUAAAUUGGGAAUCAAGUCCUAGGGACCUCAUGCCGGCACUGCCUGCCACUUGUUUGCCAAGAUCUGACUCUGGGCCGCAGUUUCCUCAUCUUUAAUUAUAAAGGGUUGGUCUUCAUCUCCCUGGGCCUGAGAAAGUUUGGAAUUGAGACCCCAGAGGUAAAGGUUGGGUAGGUUCUAAUCAAAGUGCUCAGCACGCCCUCUAGUGUUCUUUGUACGAAUUUCCUCUCGAUGAGAAAUCAGUCACCCUUUUAGGGACCUACCUCUUGAGACUCCUCAGUCAAGAUUACCCCAGGUCACUCACUUGAAAGUCUAGCAAAAAAAAAAAAAAAAAACAAACUAAUUUGGACAAAGGAAGGCAAGGAUGGGCACGUCCAGUUUUUCCGCUGGAGAUGUGGGUGGGCAUCCCUUGUGGGGCCAAAGGAAAGACCCUCGGUCCCCCUAGCAAGUCAGGGAAUCAGGGACCAACCUUGAUGGACGGGUCCAAAUGUCCUAAGUUCAUAACUUUUCACACACCAGCCAAAGUGGACCCUGUGCCAGGAUGACAUAGAGAGAGAGAGAGUCUCUAAGUAAAUGUCACCCAGAGCUACUCAGACCCUGGGCCUUCCUCCCUGCCGUUUGUCCCAGCAACUGGACCCCACCCCAAGUGAAUCCCCCAACCACAUCUUCAUCUCUGCCCCUUCUGGAG